rnacentral:misc_RNA from 1 species
UCCGGUUUGUCACCGGCGGUCUCCUUAGAGUUCCCAACUUAAUGAUGGCAACUAAGGACAAGGGUUGCGCUCGUUGCGGGACUUAACCCAACAUCUCACGACACGAGCUGACGACAGCCAUGCAGCACCUCGACUCCACCCCCUUGCGGGGUAUCGGUAUUUCUACCGACGUUGAGAAGCCGUUCGAGCCCAGGUAAGGUUCUUCGCGUUGCGUCGAAUUGUACCACAUGCUCCACCGCUUGUGCGGGCCCCCGUCAAUUCCUUUGAGUUUCAGCCUUGCGACUGUACUCCCCAGGCGGCAUAUUUAACGCGUUAGCUCCGGCACGGAUCAACUGAAUGACCCACACCAAAUAUGCAUCGUUUAGGGCGUGGACUAC